UACAGAGGGUGCAAGCGUUAAUCGGAAUUACUGGGCGUAAAGCGUGCGUAGGUGGUUUACUAAGUCAGGUGUGAAAUCCCCGGGCUCAACCUGGGAACUGCAGUGGAUACUGGCGGACUAGAGUGUGAUAGAGGAUGGUGGAAUUCCCGGUGUAGCGGUGAAAUGCGUAGAGAUCGGGAGGAACACCAGUGGCGAAGGCGGCCAUCUGGAUCAACACUGACGCUGAGGCACGAAAGCGUGGGGAGCAAACAGG
rnacentral:rRNA from 1 species